rnacentral:rRNA from 1 species
AGCAGCCGCGGUAAUUCCAGCUCCAAUAGCGUAUAUUAAAGUUGUUGCAGUUAAAAAGCUCGUAGUUGAAUUUCGGGAUCAAUAUGUUGGUCGUGCCUUGGUACGUACUGGCAUUAUCGAUUCCUACCUUCUGAAGAACCUCGAUGUCAUUAAUUUGGUGUCUUGGGGAAUCAGGACUGUUACUUUGAAAAAUUAGAGUGUUUAAAGCAGGCUCGCGCUUGAAUACAUUAGCAUGGAAUAAUGAAAUAGGACGUUUGAUUCUAUUUUGUUGGUUUCUAGGAUCGACGUAAUGAUUAAUAGGGAUAGUUGGGGGCAUUAGUAUUCAAUUGUCAGAGGUGAAAUUCUUGGAUUUUAUUGAAGACUAAACUACUGCGAAAGCAUUUGCCAAGGACGUUUUCAUUAAUCAAGAACGAAAGUUAGGGGAUCGAAGACGAUCAGAUACCGUCGUAGUCUUAACCAUAAACUAUGCCGACUAGGGAUCGGAUGAUGUUAAUUUUUAAUGUACUCUA